AACAGCUGGAGGGCCGCAGGUUGGCCAGCCCUGAUCUAAAUCUUUGCUCUUUCUGAGUUCAGGAGUCAUGUGGGCGGUCCUAAUAAGUGACUGACAGCUCUCUAUAUAUGUACACUCAUACAGGGAAGGUUGUCAGUCACUGAUUAGGACUUAAACGUUUCCUAGAAAACUAUAUAUCAAUCUGCUCAGCUCCUCCUGCUCUAGAACAUCUCGGUAAUAGUAAUGGAGAUCAUUUUUCACCAGUCUGUUACCACCGGAAAUAUCUGUGCCCCAUACUCGGCUAUCUCCAGCAGUUCUAUUGAGAAUGGAGCGGCAGGGCAUAUGCCCGACAUGCUGCUCAAUCAGAUUGUGGGAUUAGUAUCCCCAUUUUCAGGAUCAGGGAUAGGGCUAACUAUGAAACUUGGCACAACUCCUUUAAAUAUAUUGAGGAAAAAGAAAAAUUAGAGCCGUAUCCUGUAGCAUCCAAUCAUACAGCAUAUUUCAUUUCAAAAGGGUAUCUAAAAAUGAAAUGGGAAAUCUGAUUGGUUGCUGUUGGCAGUUGCUUCACUUUUCUUUUACACAAGACUUACUAAAUCUUCCAGACUCUCAUGUAGGAAAACCAGCUUAGACCGUCCCUUCUGUUGACUUACAUACAAUGCUGUUUCUAAUUUGCAGUAUUGGAAUCAUCUCUGUAAACCCUACCUAAAGAGUGUGAAGGGUCCGCCAUAUGACAUUGUGGUAUUACAUAGAGUAAUAGAGAGUUGUCACAGUUUACAUAGGUUCAAAUGAGCUCCGUGAACAGAAUACACAUUUGUGGAUAAAUCAUUAGCAGCAUGUGAAUCCACAAUGGGAAACUAUGUACUAAGAAGUGCUUUUUUAUGAUAUUACUAUGUGGAGCCAACUAUAUGAAGCUCCUUAAAUGAACGUUUGCAUUAUUAACUGGAUAAGGUGAUUUCCUUCCAGAAAGACCAAUUUCAUAAUUUUAUGUUUAAAAGAAUCUGUGUAGUGUCAGGCAUAGCAUUGUAAUCAGAGAAAAAUUUAACACCGGCAUAGAGAAAAUAUGUAGAAUUCUGAAGACACUCCACCAAAAGUACCGGUAAGACACAUUUGAAUGGAAUGGCAAUAUGAGCCAUACAGUGAAUUUCUAAAUGUAUCCUUAUGGUAAAUGUAAGCUAAUGAUAGUUAAUUUAUAAGCUCCUGACUGCCGGUAGCCACCAGCAGAGGGAGCUUUAAAGCUUACUGCAUACUGUGAUAUUAUGGAGUUCAGUGUAAAAACUGUAUGCAAUAAACUCCUAAGCUCCCUCCAGUGGUGGCUGAUGGUAGUCAGAAUUAAAAAACAUAACUGACUAUGUAGUAGAUUUGGUGCUAUGUGUCAGUGAAAAGAACCUCUGGACACUCUAAAAUAUAAAGAAAUUACGUAGCUCAGAUUCUUGGAUUUAAAAAUAACAUGUUUUUUUAAACAGUGGGCAUUCCAUUUAAAGGCAUCAGUAGAAAAUAACCCUAUUAACUCUUUAGGCUCUAGUAACAGAUUUGUAAGAACAUUGCCUACCUGGAAUUAGGAAUCCAGUCUAAUGUUAGGUUCAUAUCCAUAGCUGGGGUUCUGGCAGGAGCCCCCAUCACAGAUUUUGGCAUGCAGCAGUAUUUUGUCUAGGAUGAUGCCAGUAUUCUUGCUGGAAACCGCAAGGACCCCAAUAUAGUGAAUGACAUCCGUCCAUCCAAUGCCAGAAGAACAUACCAGAAUUCAGCCACAGAUGUGCACUAAGCCUAAGAUUUUUUUUGGUUGAUUAAUAAUAUUUUCCAUAUUAUUUACAUUAUGAUACUAGUCGGGACAAGGGACCUUGUGUAUAUGUAGUUACAUUGAUAGGGAGUAAGUUAUAUGUCUGUGUGUUUUGUACAGUUUAGAGGAUGACGUAAAUUCAAAUUAAAAUCUGAUUGGACAACCAAUCAGAUUCCACCUUUCAUUUUCCAGACUAUCUCUUAAAAUAAAAGGUGGAAUCUCGUUGGUUUCUAUGGGCAACAUAGCCAGUGUU